rnacentral:rRNA from 1 species
GACGAACGCUGGCGGCGUGCUUAACACAUGCAAGUCGAACGGUGAUCCCAGGAGCUUACUUCUGGGUGAGCAGUGGCGAACGGGUGAGUAACACGUGAGUAACCUGCCCCUGACUCUGGAAUAAGCGCUGGAAACGGCGUCUAAUACCGGAUACGAGACGCAACCGCAUGGUUAGUGUCUGGAAAGUUUUUCGGUCUGGGAUGGACUCGCGGCCUAUCAGCUUGUUGGUGAGGUAAUGGCUCACCAAGGCGAUGACGGGUAGCCGGCCUGAGAGGGCGAUCGGCCACACUGGGACUGAGACACGGCCCAGACUCCUACGGGAGGCAGCAGUGGGGAAUAUUGCACAAUGGGCGAAAGCCUGAUGCAGCGACGCCGCGUGGGGGAUGACGGCCUUCGGGUUGUAAACCUCUUUCAGCAGGGAAGAAGCGCAAGUGACGGUACCUGCAGAAGAAGCACCGGCUAACUACGUGCCAGCAGCCGCCGUAA